GACGAACGCUGGCGGCGUGCUUAACACAUGCAAGUCGAACGGAAAGACCCUGCUUUUGUUGGGUGCUCGAGUGGCGAACGGGUGAGUAACACGUGAGUAACCUGCCCUUGACUUUGGGAUAACUUCAGGAAACUGGGUCUAAUACCGGAUAUGAGCUCCUGCUGCAUGGUGUGGGUUGGUAAGUUUCGGCGGUUGGGGAUGGUCUCGCGGCUUAUCAGCUUGUUUGUGUGGUAGUUGCGGACCACGGCUUUGACGGGUAGCCGGCCUGAGAGGGUUGCCGGGCACCAGGCGACUGCGAGAGGGAGCAGAAUGGUAUGGGAGGCAGCAGUGGGGAGUAUUGCGGAAUGGGCGGAAGCCUGAUGCAGAAACGUCGGGUGCGGGAUGAUGGGUUUCGGGUUGUAAACAGAUUUCGAAUGUGACGAAGCGUGAGUGACGGUAAUGGGUAAAGAAGCAACGGCUAACUACGUG
rnacentral:rRNA from 1 species